rnacentral:lncRNA from 1 species
AUUCAUCGAUUCAGGCAACUGAUUUAGAGAGAAAUCUCGAUUCAUAUUGAUUUAUCGAAAAUUGGCUAAAUUUAUCGAUGGUGAUGUUCUAGAGCCAGCCUCAAGAAGGCUUCAAGGUAAAAUAUAGAUCCAAGAAAUGUAAGGUCUCAUUAAAAAAUAGAUCUAAAUUGGUAGCUAUUGUGCAAGCUAUUGCUUUUGAUGGCCGUUGCCUUCUCCUCUGACACCACUAAUCCACUACUGAGUAUUUCCUCUCCCUUUCUCUCUAGCUCCAAGUUGUUAUCUUUCUUAACUUUAAUUAGGAUUUUAAAACAAAAAUAUGAUAUUACUAUCUAUUCUACAACUUGUAAGCUAUUGAUUAUGUGAAACAGAGUAACCAUAAGCCACUGUGAUUUUCGGAUUGAUGAUUUCUUUUUUCAUCCUAUCGUGGUGCGUUACUUUGAAGCAUAAAAUCUAUUCAUUUUUACAUUGUGACAUAUACAACUGUAUUAAACAAGGAAAUAAUGGUAUGUAUGCAGACAAUGUGCUUGAUAAAAUGCUUGAGAGAAGGGAAUUAAGAGCCUGUUCAAACUAUGUUUUUCGGACAAUAACUCUAUUAUAUUUUGUUCUUGCCUGUUUUUCUUGGGUUGUGGCAGUUGAUUGAAAUAUGUUCUAGUUCUUGGUUUUCUUUGUGUUUCUUUAUUCAAUGUUCAUUUUGUAAGAUGUAAAAGUACAUUCAAUAUGAUAUAACUUUUAAAAAUAAUAUGUUAAACCAUAUAGGUUUACAGAUGAUUCUUUGAAGAAACUUGAAGAAAGAGGAAUUUUCAUAUGUUUUGUCACUAGUAGCAGGUUUGCUUCUGCCUUAAAUUGUUUUUUUUUCUUCUCUAAGACUUUUAAUAUUAAUGUAAGUAAGAGUUAUUAUGAUGGUGUUCUCUUAGAUUUCUUAUGGAAUUCUCAGAUCUGGAAUUGAUUUUAUAUGGCUCUUGACUUUGUUGUUAUUUUCUAUGAUAUUCAACUGAUUCUUGACUAUUCUGUAUGCUAGGAGUUCAUCUGUGUUUGGAACUGGUCUUACGGAUAUAUCUUUGACGUUUUAGUCCUAAUGAAUCGUUUCUAUGAAGUCACCCAAUUGCUUGACGAAAUGCCUAAAGGGAACAAGAGUUUUGUUUUUUUUACCUGUAUUCCAAUUAAAGCUUUAGGUAUAUAGUGGUGUAGAUAAAUUUGUGUAUUUUGGGGCUUUUUUGGGUAUUCAUUAUGAUCUUCAAACUCUCCUUACUUGCAAGUAUUUGUUUAUUCAAAGCUUAGGAGUUAGUGACUAUCGGUACUUUAUGAAUUUAUUUAAACCUGCAAGAAUGUGUAGUUUCAUAGUGCUUGUUGGUUUUUAACAAAUUCAUAAGUUUUAUAAAUGCCUAUACUUUAUGAAAUCAAUUUUUAGUAUAUGUGUUAUGCUCACUCACGUUGUGAAAUUGUCAAUUUGUCUGUUUGUUUUAUUAUCAAUUACCAAAUUUUGUUUCUAAUUUGCAAUUUGUCUAUUUUACUUCUAAUGUGAAACAAAUUGACGGCUUGACAGAGUUGACUAGAUACUAAGUUGUGAGAAAACAAGGAGGUUGUGGUUUGGAGGACAUGCAUUAUAAGUUUCCUCACAUAUAUUCUUAUGUGCAUAAUUGUUGCAACGGUUUUGAAAUUGCUAUGAUUAUUAUUAUGUUUUAUAAUUUUUUAAUAUUAGUUUACUUUGUCAACUAUGUUUCAUGUUGCAAAACAAGUACAUUGCCUAUUUUGAUAGAAUACGGAAAGUACAUUCACAUUUCAUGCAAAAAGGUAAUGAGUUAUCUAUGUGAUGAGAUAAUUUUUCAACUAUUUUAUAAUCAAAAUCAUAUUUUAUUUUUAUUUUUAUAACCAUAUUUCAGUUUGUUACCAACUUUCUAUCGAGUUUUGGACCAAAUCCAGAACAAUAUUCGGAAGAAUAACAGUAAAAUAUUGGCAAGUUUUUCCAAGAAAUAGCAAUGUACAUUCAUAUCUGGGCAAAACAGCUUCCAGAUAAGACAUGUUACUAUGUUUACUCAAUUACAUACAAUGGCAUAGAAAGAUCUAAAAUUAAGAUGUUUGAAUACAUGUAAAUGAAACAAUGUUGUCAUUUCUUGCAUUUAACUUUAUAUUUGAAAGUUUAGUUUGUGCUUUUUAGAUCUGUAUGGUUUUCAAUAUCAGACUCAUGGUAUUUUGUUUACAGGUCUUAGAUUUCUAUAAGCAGCCCAAUUAAAGCUAUUGCACUUAGGGAUAGCUCUUUUGUGUCUGGUUGUCAAGCUACCUACUUGCUGGGGCAUAUUAAAAGUGGCCCAAAGUUCUUGCUGAAACCAUAGCUUUUGAAAGUAGACUGAUCGAAAGAAGUUCUAAAAUUAAAAAUGGAGGCAAUAGGAACUGAUAGUCUUUAUGUUUAUUUAAUGAUCUAAUAAAAUUUUCGGUCUACUAUCAUGGCUUUGCACCUUUUCAAUUAAAUUUUACUACGUUAAAAAGGUUUUGCCCUUUUGCUAUGAGGACAGUGGAAAAAGUAGUAAAACUUAAAAAAUGAGUAAUUUAUGCAGCUUGGUUAAGCAUAUAUGUAGUUUGUGUAAAUUUAAUUUAUUAUUUUUUCAAACAAGAAUUUGACAUCUAGACUCUAAGGAUUUUAAUAUUUUUGCAUCAACGUGCUAAAAAGAGACGUUAUUAAGCUUUUUUAUUCCUUCUGUUAUAAAAUCCUAUUGCAUCCUAAUAUCAAAUACACAUUUAUAAUUUGUAUUUGAGAACUCGCCUACUUCUGAGUUAUGAUUACCAAAUUGUUUAGUUGGGUAUUUAGGUUGUGCUUCUAUAACCUAACCAAACCAACACAAGUUUAAGCAAUUAUUUUUCAUUAUAUAUUUUUUAGAGUUUUAAUCCACCAUAUUCCAAGAAACAAUAAAAAAUAAAAAAAUAAAAAAAAU